rnacentral:rRNA from 1 species
GAUGAACGCUGGCGGCGUGCCUAAUACAUGCAAGUCGAGCGAAUGGAUUAAGAGCUUGCUCUUAUGAAGUUAGCGGCGGACGGGUGAGUAACACGUGGGUAACCUGCCCAUAGGACUGGGAUAACUCCGGGAAACUGGGGCUAAUACCGGAUAACAUUUUGAACCGCAUGGUUCGAAAUUGAAAGGCGGCUUCGGCUGUCACUUAUGGAUGGACCCGCGUCGCAUUAGCUAGUUGGUGAGGUAACGGCUCACCAAGGCAACGAUGCGUAGCCGACCGGAGAGGGUGAGCGGCCACACGGGAACUGAGACACGGCCCAGACUCCUAAGGGAGGCAGCAGUAGGGAAUCUUCCGCAAUGGACGAAGGUCUGACGGAGCAACGCCGCGUGAGUGAUGAAGGCUUUCGGGUCGUAAAACUCUGUUGUUAGGGAAGAACAAGUGCUAGUUGAAUAAGCUGGCACCUUGACGGUACCUAACCAGAAAGCCACGGCUAACUACGUGCCAGCCGCCGCAGUAA